rnacentral:misc_RNA from 1 species
UUAUUUUUAUAAUUUUUUUUCCUUAAUUUUGCGCCUCACUUCGCUCAAUGGAUGCCUUGUGCCUAAGCUUCAGGUCCUCUUAGCGCCUUGGCGUGCCUUAAGCCUUUGAUAAUUAUGGUUGUUAUUAGGAAAGAUUAAUUGGACCAUCAAAAAAGAAAUGAUCUGAAUUUAGUGCAUUCUGACACAUUUGAUGCUGCAUUCUGACACUGUCAAGCCGGGGCCAGGAAUUUCAAAACCUCUUUUCGGUGUUCUAGAAGAUCUUUUAUCAAUAAGUAAGCUAGCCUCCCUGAAAAGGCAUCUAUUUUGAAGUGAGGAUGCUUCCUGCCUUGGAGUCAUCAGAAAACGAAGUAGUGCAACUUGAACGGUUCAAAACGGUGUAUGACACUGAAAAUGGUGUGAAAUAAAAUAAGCCAAAUGGGAAGAGUGACUCCACAUGAAGAUGGUUUAAGAGUCAAGGCACAGUUGUUUCUUCAAGGGUUAGCGGCUUAUGGACUUUUAGGCUUAGUGAAUAUUGUACUGUUUCUAUAAUCUAUACGCUGGUAUUUUAAAGUUGUUGCUAAAUGCACCUGAUUUGCUAGCUGUUAAUUCACCCUACAAUUGAGUAAAUUUUUUAACUAAUUGUUGUAGUUUUAUAGGCUAAGCUAGCCUAAUUGAUGGGUAGAGG